GACAGAGGUGCCAAGCGUUAGGCGGAAUCACUGGGCUUAAAGCGUGUGUAGGCGGAUGCCUAAGUACCUUGUGAAAUCCCACGGCUCAACCGUGGAACUGCUGGGUAUACUGGCGGUCUUGGGCCAUCUAGGGGGUCGCCGGAACAAGCGGUGGAGCGGUGAAAUGCGUAGAUAUCGCUUGGAACGCCAAAGGUGAAGACAGGCGACUGGAGAUGUGCCGACGCUGAGACGCGAAAGCCAGGGGAGCGAACGGG
rnacentral:rRNA from 1 species